rnacentral:rRNA from 1 species
ACUCAAAUGAAUUGACGGGGACCCGCACAAGCGGUGGAGCGUGUUGUUUAAUUCGAUGGUAAGCGAAGAACCUUACCCAGGCUUGACAUCCUUGGAAGGCAUCCGAAAGGAUACUGUGCCCUCGGGAACCAAGUGACAGGUGUUGCAUGGCCGUCGUCAGCUCGUGUCGUGAGAUGUUUGGUUAAGUCCAUCAACGAGCGCAACCCUUUUGGUCUGUUGUAUUUUUCAGGCCAGACUGCCCCGGUAACGGGGAGGAAGGAGGGGAUGAUGUCAGGUCAGUAUUACCCUUACGUCUGGGGCUACAAACACGCUACAAUGGCCGGUACAAAGGGCAGCCAAGUCGCGAGACGGAGCAAAUCCCAUCAAAGCCGGUCCAAGUUCGGAUUGCAGGCUGAAACUCGCCUGCAUGAAGCUGGAAUCGCUAGUAAAGGUAGGUCAGCACACUACCUUGAAUACGUUCCCGGGUCUUGUACACACCGCCCGU